rnacentral:rRNA from 1 species
UAAGAAUAUUCCGCAAUGGACGAAAGUCUGACGGAGCGACGCCGCGUGGAUGACGAAGGCCGAAAGGUUGUAAAAUCCUUUUGCUGAUGAAGAAUAAGCGUGGUAGGGAAUGACCGCGUGAUGACAUUAGUCGGUGAAUAAGCCCCGGCUAACUACGUGCCAGCAGCCGCGGUAACACGUAGGGGGCAAGCGUUGUUCGGAAUUAUUGGGCGUAAAGGGCAUGUAGGCGGUUUGGUAAGCCUGAUGUGAAAUCCUGCAGCUUAACUGUAGAAUUGCAUUGGGUACUGCCGAACUUGAAUCACUGAGGGGAAACUAGAAUUCCAGGUGUAGGGGUGGAAUCUGUAGAUAUCUGGAAGAAUACCGGUGGCGAAGGCGGGUUUCUAGCAGAUGAUUGACGCUGAGGUGCGAAAGUGCGGGGAGCGAAC